UCCCGCCCUGGGCAUGUAUUAAGGAAAGAAUCAGUUCCCCAUUUUGGUGCAUCAUAGAUAUUUAGAUAUUUAACUAUUAAUCAGUAACCGGCAUUAUCAUCUUGAGUUGAUAUACAUCUUGAAAAAGAAAAACAAAAAAACAAAAGCAAAGAAACCUGAAACGUUUUCGUUUAGAUCUGCCUCUAAAAGCCCUACGCUGGGUAAAUGUACAUUUGAACUAGCCCCCCUGGGGGAGGGAGGUGGGCCGCAAGCCAGGCACCACAGGUGAGGUGUCUGUGUUGGGGAAAGAGAGGACGGUGCCAGCUGGGGGUCAGCUCUGGGUUCCUGGAGGCAAAGUCUUGAGCCGAGGACAGGCGAAGCCCUCCCUGGCAGAAUUUUAGGAAGACAAAUCUGGAGGUGAGCGAGAUGGUUUGGAGGGAGGGGCCGGCAGCCCGCAGUGCCAGAGCCUUGAUUCUUUUCUCUUUCUCACCUCAUCUGAGCUAACCAGAGCCUGCCCCCUCCUCUCUGCCGCAUCCUUCAGCUGUGCCCCGGGACACCGCCCCUCUCUGGCCAGGAUCUCUGCAGCUGCCCUCUCACUAGCAUCCCCACCUCCAGUGUCCGUCACUCGAACAAUCCUGCAGAUCAUGAACUCCUACAUUUAAGGCUGGACACCUGUAAGGUACCAGCUCUCUGAAACACAAACCUGACUGUGUCCCUUCCCCAUGUAAAAGCCUUCAGUGGCUGCCCGUCGGCCAGAAGUAAAAUCCAGAUUCCUCGCCGUGGGACAGAAGGCCCGCUAUGACUUAGACGUGGUGUCCUUCCAGCCCCGUCCGCCUCCACUGGCCCUGCGCGCCCAGACCUACAGCCGCUCGCUCCUCCAGUGCCGAAGGAUUCAUUCCUUCCGACUUUGGCCUCGUCUCCUCUUUGACCUUGCUCUGGAAAGAGUGGAGAUGAUUGAUUGCAUUGCACAUAUGGGGCUCCGAGCAACAUUCGAGCUCAACGAAUUUCCAUCAGUAGUGGGCACCUCGUAGCUGGAUGAUCCAGACCACAGAGAACCGUGAGACGGAGGGACGAGGCUACAUCGCCCCAGUCACUAAAGGAUUAUUGUUUAGGUAUACAUACCCCCUCCCUCCGUGAAAUGCAGUGUACAUAAACCCACAUUUAUAGGACGGAAGUUGAGGGGUGCUUGAUCACAUUGCUAACGGAGUCUGCCCAGAAUUUCUUUAACUAGGUGGCUCCUCUCGUAUCUUUCCAGUUGGGUCCCACGGAUUAAAAUCCCACUGACACCCAAUACACUGUGGAAAGAAACGACCAGGGACCAGGAGCUGGGAUGCCUGGUCUUAGUCCUGCCUCAGGACCCAUCCCAGACUGAGAAGGUGAGGACUAAUCCUGGACCACCUCUAAAUGCCAGGACUUUUAAAUCCUGAGCAAUCUGCACCAAUCCUAUCAAGCAAGAUAGACCUGUUGAUGAGAAGGCUCUGAUCCCCUAGCUGUGCUGGAAAGAGCCAGAAGGCCGGGAUGUGCCUCAGCCUGGGGUGCCCAGUGGGGUCCCCCCUGUCCUGGUGCUGUGCUCUGCUCCCCUCCCCCCAUUCGCUCUGACCUCCACCCGCACCCACUGCUUCAAUCGUAUUCUCCCUCUGCUCUGAGUUUUCUCGGGCCCCAGCUCCCUUGAAUUUAUGACAAUUGUUAUCGUUUCUGCCAGAUUGGCCUCCCUGCUCCACUAAAUUCAUAUCCUCAACCAUC